GACAGAGGGUGCAAACGUUGUUCGGAAUUACUGGGCGUAAAGCGCGUGUAGGCGGCUCUGCAAGUCGGAUGUGAAAGCCCUGGGCUCAACCUAGGAAGUGCACUCGAAACUGCAGAGCUUGAGUCUCGGAGAGGAUCGCGGAAUUCUCGGUGUAGAGGUGAAAUUCGUAGAUAUCGAGAGGAACACCUGCGGCGAAGGCGGGUUGCUGGGCUGACACUGACGCUGAUGCGCGAAAGCCAGGGGAGCGAACGGG
rnacentral:rRNA from 1 species